UGGUGUAGUGGUUAGCACGCUGGACUUUGAAUCUGGAGGUUGGUGGUUCGAGUCCAAU
rnacentral:tRNA from 1 species